AUUGAACGCUGGCGGCAGGCUUAACACAUGCAGGUCGAACGAGUGGCGGACGGGUGAGUAAUGCUUGGGAAUCUAGCUUAUGGAGGGGGAUAACUCCGGGAAACUGUAGCUAAUAACGCGUACCAUAGGCUGAGCCCAAGUGGGAUUAGGUAGUUGGUGGGGUAAAGGAUUACCUAGGCGACGAUCUCUAGCUGGUCUGAGAGGAUGUUCAUCCACACUGGGACUGAGACAAGGCCCAGACUCCGACGGGAGGCAGAAGUGGGGAAUAUUGCACAAUGGGCGCAAGCCUGAUGCAGCCAUGCCGCGUGUAUGAAGAAGGCCUUAGGGUUGUAAAGUACUUUCAGUCGGGAGGCGUUACCGACAGAAGAAGUACCGGCUAACUCCGUGCCAGCAGCCGCGGUAAUUC
rnacentral:rRNA from 1 species